AUUGAACGCUGGCGGCAGGCCUAACACAUGCAAGUCGAGCGGAUGAAGGGAGCUUGCUCCUGGAUUCAGCGGCGGAAGGGUGAGUAAUGCCUAGGAAUCUGCCUGGUAGUGGGGGAUAACGUCUGGAAACGGGUGCUACUACCGCAUACGUCCUGAGGGAGAAAGUGGGGGAUGUUCGGACCUCACGCUAUCAGAUGAGCCUAGGUCGGAUUAGCUAGUUGGUGGGGUAAAGGCCUACCAAGGCGACGAUCCGUAACUGGUCUGAGAGGAUGAUCAGUCACACUGGAACUGAGACACGGUCCAGACUCCUACGGGAGGCAGCAGUGGGGAAUAUUGGACAAUGGGCGAAAGCCUGAUCCAGCCAUGCCGCGUGUGUGAAGAAGGUCUUCGGAUUGUAAAGCACUUUAAGUUGGGAGGAAGGGCAGUAAGUUAAUACCUUGCUGUUUUGACGUUACCAACAGAAUAAGCACCGGCUAACUUCGUG
rnacentral:rRNA from 1 species